AGUUCAAUAGAAUUCUUGCCUUCCAUGCAGGAGGCCCAGGUUCAAUUCCUGG
rnacentral:tRNA from 1 species